AGGCCAGUAGCUCAAUUUGGCAGAGCACCGGUCUCCAAAACCGGGGGCUGGGGGUUCGAGUCCCUUCUGGCCUGCCA
rnacentral:tRNA from 1 species